rnacentral:rRNA from 1 species
AUGCCUCUUAGUUCCAUUUCAGGAAGGAAGCCACUGGAUGUGGUGAUUGUGUACGCCUUUGAUUGCACAGACUCAACCCCAGCCUGGUACACGGUGGAUAAUGGGAUCUUUUGGUUGGUGCAAGAGAAGCUAGCCAACUUGCCUCACAGUUGCAUGGGUUAUAUUUACGUCAUGUCAACCGCUAACACCUACACGUCAGACAUGAAAGUAGUUGACUCAGCUGAGACAAAGGAAACUGGUUACACGGGAUUCGCUUGGCGUAGGAUUGCUUGCAAUAAACAUAUGGCAUCAGGCCUUAUUGAGGCACAUAAAAUGAUUAAUAAUCGUGGUCACCACAAUGGCAUCAUCUUGUUCUUCUCUGAUGGGUUGAUAAACAAGGGAGAUUUCUUUGAUGGAACCGAGGAUUUUGUUUCCAGAGUGCCUGUCCACACAUUUACCCUCGGCGGGGACGAAUAUAACCAUGUUCUUCACUCAAUUGCGGCCAAUUCUCCGGGUGGAAUGUUUCACACUAGCCCCGUUCCAGAAAGGCCAAACCUAUCAACAGCCUUCUCGAAACUACUGGAUAGCCUCCUUAGAGGCACGAUGGAGGACAAAAAUUAUCAAUAG